rnacentral:rRNA from 1 species
CGCCUUGCCAGCCCGCUCAGAAACUUAAAGGAAUUGACGGGGCCCGCACAAGCAGAGGAACAUGUGGUUUAAUUCGAUGAUACGCGAGGAACCUUACCUGGGCUUAAAUGGGGAGUGACAGCUGUCGAAAGAUGGUUUUCUUCGGACACUCUUCAAGGUGCUGCAUGGUUGUCGUCAGCUCGUGCCGUGAGGUGUCGGGUUAAGUCCCAUAACGAGCGCAACCCUUACCGUUAGUUACCAUCAGGUUAAGCUGGGGACUCUAGCGGGACUGCCACCGUAAGGUGAGAGGAAGGUGGGGAUGACGUCAAAUCAGCACGGCCCUUAUGUCCAGGGCUACACACGUGUUACAAUGGCCGGUACAAAGGGCAGCUACUUCGCGAGAAGAUGCUAAUCUCGAAAGCCGGUCUCAGUUCGGAUCGAAGUCUGCAACCCGACUUCGUGAAGCUGGAUUCGCUAGUAAUCGCGCAUCAGCCAUGGCGCGGUGAAUACGUUCCCGGGCCUU